rnacentral:lncRNA from 1 species
UGCAUGCAUUCAUUCAUGCUAUGUAUAUAGAGAUGAUCUAGCUAGAUAUAUUUUCAAUCGAGGAUUGUACUUAGUUUUGCUAUUAAAAAGAGGUAGUGACGCAACUGUUUAUCUUCUAUCUCGAUGUAAUUUCAUUGGUUAAUUAGUAUUGUUUAAAAAGAUAUUUCAAUAUUGAAAAUACAUCUAAAUGAUCAUCUUAUAUAUAUGAGUAAAUUAAAAGAAAGAUGGAAGCAAGUGCAUUGGUGUAGACGACGAACACGAAGGGACUUGGCCCUUUCGACAAGACGGUGCUAGCCAAGAUGGUUAAACCGAUGGUACAAAACUCCAUUAACACCAUUAACAUGCAUGGCACCACUUCACCAAGCACCAUACCUAGCUUCCUCUCCAUUGAUCUCUUCCUUCUCUCUCUAGAUGGAUAGUCAAGAUUUUUGUUGUAGACAAAGUUUAAAAGGAGUGGGUUAGAAUGAGGUUUAAAUUGCUGAAGAGAGAGAGAGUAACCCUUGAGGAAAUGGUGAAGGUACUCUUGGGGUUUUGCAGCAACUCGAGUGACCCAAUCACAUAGAGGGAAGGCAAUCUACCUAUUUGGAUCAUUAUUUUAUUUUCUUCUUUUUUUUCUUUACUAUCAGGACCCACGAUGAUUAUAUGCAAUAUAUGAUUGAUUGAUCAAUUACGCAAACGAGAGUAUUUAAAUCUGUUCAGGUAUACUUAUUUUAUCUUGCUUUAUAUUUUUUUAAUUGAUGUAAAUUAUGCAAACUUUAAAGAAGUUCGCCGCAACGCGUUGCGGCGAAUUUCUUUUGU